rnacentral:rRNA from 1 species
GACGAACCGAGCGAACGUUGUUCGGAAUCACUGGGCUUAAAGGGCGCGUAGGCGGGCUGCCGCGUCCGGGGUGAAAUCCCACGGCUCAACCGUGGAACUGCCCCGGAUACGGGCGGCCUCGAGGGGGGUAGGGGCAUCUGGAACUGUGAGUGGAGCGGUGAAAUGCGUUGAUAUCGAGAGGAACACCUGAGGUGAAGACGGGUUGCUGGGCCGACACUGAUGCUGACAGCGCGAAAGCCAGGGGAGCAAACGGG